UACGGAAGGCAGCAGUGGGGAAUAUUGCACAAUGGGCGCAAGCCUGAUGCAGCCAUGCCGCGUGUAUGAAGAAGGCCUUCGGGUUGUAAAGUACUUUCAGUCGUGAGGAAGGUGUUAAGGUUAAUAACCUUAGCAACUGACGUUAGCGACAGAAGAAGCACCGGCUAACUCCGUGCCAGCAGCCGCGGUAAUACGGAGGGUGCGAGCGUUAAUCGGAAUUACUGGGCGUAAAGGGCACGCAGGCGGUUAAUUAAGUUGGAUGUGAAAUCCCCGGGCUUAACCUGGGAAUGGCAUUCAAGACUGGUUAGCUAGAGUCUUGUAGAGGGGGUAGAAUUCCGAUGUGUAGCGGUGAAAUGCGUAGAGAUGUGGAGGAAUACCGGUGGCGAAGGCGGCCCCUGGACAAAGACUGACGCUCAUGUGCGAAAGCGUGGGGAGCGAAACAGGGAUUAGAUACC
rnacentral:rRNA from 1 species